UUUCGAUGAAUUAAUGCCCAACAUUGGAUCAGUUGGUUACGAAAGAAAAAAGAAUGAAAAAUGUUAUCAUAUUCUGGAUCAAAUUUUAAAACGUUUUAAUGCGAAGAACAAGCGUGACAAAUCUGUCCAACGGUUCGUGAUCAGGUUACAAAGCGACGGAUUCAAAAAACUGAGAGGGAAAUACUUUGGGAAAAAGAAUUCCUUUUGGAAAUUCCUCGCGUUUCUUCGACUCGGUAAACGGUGAAAUUCGAUAUUCAGGAUUUCACGAAAGACACGUAGACGUUGAUAACUAGAGAGAAAGCAACGAUUUCAACAUUUCAAUUCGACCGAAUCAAUUUCGACGGAUAACGUGUAUUUUAGAAACGGAAUCUUUUUCUUAUUUUUCCGAAACUUAAGGACAAAUAAUAGCUUUACGUGUAAUUCUAAAAAUCUCAAUUAUACGUGUAAUCCAACAUGACUUUCUCAUCAAACGUGUUUAUCUUUUUUCACCAGUGUAGCAAUCGAGCAAUCAUUUAAGAAAAAUACACAUCACGUUUGUUUAAACAAUCGAACUAUUUAUCAUUUCCAGUUUUUAUUAAACUUUUGCAUAAACUUUUGUGAAACAACUGAACCAAUAAUCACACCGAUCAAUCUCUCUUCGACAAUCUCUCGAACAAUUUCUCAUCUGUCUAAAUUCGAAACAAUCGUGCGCAUCUAAUUCCAAAGUUGGUAUCGUGGUGUCGCUGAUGUAUGCAUGGCGGAUCGACGAGGAAACAGUUGCAAGGACAAUUGUAGAAAUAUAAGAAGAGUGAGAGAGAGGGUAAAGACGAGGCGAUCGCGUUGAAAAUGGCGGGCUAAGUGGUAUUGUUCUCUGGAUGGAGACGUAGGAGGAUUUUUACCUUCUCGUUCUUGUACCGUCUAACGACCCUUUCGAGUUGUCGCCGUAGGAGGAGGUUUUUGAAGCGAAGAAACAGAAGAAGGAAAGAGAGAAAAAACAAAGAGUGGAAAACAAGAGGAGAAUAGGAUAGAAGAGGCCGAGAGUCGAAAUAGAAAGAUAAGAAAAAUUGUAACGAAAGUUAACGAGAAAUUAAUUAUACGAGAAGAGAUAUAUAUGUAUAAAAAUAUAUGGAAAAAAGAGGAAUUGAAAGAAAAAUAUUAAAAGUGAGGUUAAGUGUUAAGCCAUUACACUUUUUCUUCUCUUAGAUUAGAAGAAGGAGAAUAGUCGAAGAUAGAUGAGAAAGAAAUUGUCGAGGAUCCUUCUUCUAUUUAAGGAGUCGAAUUUUUUUUUUUCUUUAGAAAGAUGAGAAAAGUUGUACGAGAAAUUAAUUAUACGAGAAGAAAUAUAUACGUAUGAAAAUAAUACGUAGAAAAAAAAGGAAAUUGAAAAAAAAAAAUUAAAGGUUAGCCAGUCGAUGCGCGACAAAGAACACCGUUCAACUAGUGCAACGAUUUAUUCGUCGAAAUUCAACUUGAUCGACCAGUCCAUACUCUAUCGCGAGCUUGAAUAUCGAUAUCGUUUCGCCUACGCGAGGAAAUUCGUUAAAUUGGGACAUAUUUUCGAUCCACGUUGCUCUUACGGCUGUAGCAUGUCGCGACGUUUGAAAAAAACAUGGAACGCUAUACACACGAGGAACACGAAUAUGGAAUAUAUUCUGUGGAACGAAGCUUUGCCAACGAAGACACGUAGAAAAUAACGAUUGGAUCGUCUCGACGAGUCGUCGAUAGUCGAUAUCGUCGAUGUCAAUUUGGCCUCGUGGGAAUCCUUUUUUCGAGUUCUCAUCUUGGAUGCGAUCGGGGUUAACGAACAGCGGAUGAGAAGGCAUGCAAAUGAGGAGGAGCUUAGAGUGAAAAAAAAAAA